rnacentral:misc_RNA from 1 species
AGGUGAACCUGCGGAGGGAUCAUCAUAGAAAAACACGCUUUUUCCAAGGAAAAAAGAGGGGGAGGGGAAAGAAGCGGGCUUGCUUGUGAUUUCUGUGCCUGUCUUUUCUUCCCUCCUUUCUCUUUUUUCUUUUCAAACAAACGAUCGCAACUAAUCUGUAUUUCUUUGAGAGAGAGGGGCUGUUGUUUGCUUGCUUGCGGGAAAGGGAAAGGCUCUGACUUGCUAGUCUCUUCACACCCAUAAGCAAGCGCGCAACACCAAAAGCACAAGCGUUUGCCUGAUAACAGCAAUCGUCCAUUGAUUUGGACACUGAGAAAAAAGAAACACAACUUUCAACAACGGAUCUCUUGGCUCUCA